CAGUCGCCGCGGGAAUACGAAGGGUGCAAGCGUUAAUCGGAAUUACUGGGCGUAAAGCGUGCGUAGGCGGUUUGUUAAGUCUGUUGUGAAAUCCCCGGGCUCAACCUGGGAAUGGCAAUGGAUACUGGCAAGCUAGAGUGUGUCAGAGGAUGGUGGAAUUCCCGGUGUAGCGGUGAAAUGCGUAGAGAUCGGGAGGAACAUCAGUGGCGAAGGCGGCCAUCUGGGACAACACUGACGCUGAGGCACGAAAGCGUGGGGAGCAAACAGGAUUAGAUACCCGCGUAGUCCCUGUCUCUUAUAA
rnacentral:rRNA from 1 species